CGAGGCAAAAAGAGGAAGGAGUCCUGGUGAUCGAGGAGAUCAAACUCAAAGCUCAUAUUGUUUUGUCGUUCUUGUCAGACCGUACUCUUUUACCGAUCCCUCUCUGCCUCUCUUUCUACAUACAAACAUCCAAAACUGAUUUUCCCAAUCUCUGUGUGUAUAAGAUUAGAGAUACAGCCACUCUGUCUCUCUCCGCUGCUUUUGGAAAAAAGAUGAUUCUGUUGGAAUCUACACUAGAAAAAGGUGAUUGCUUUCGUCUGGACUUACAGCUGCUUAUCCUUUACAUUGCUCUGGCCGUCUUCAAUGGCGUUCUUGCUGCAAUUGCUUUUUCUCAGCUGGUCAGGAUUCACAUGCGCAACCAACAAAUUGGAUGGACACGCCAAAAAGUACUUCACCUCAUGAUUGGCUGUUCUAACUUAGGUUACUUCCUAUAUUUUAUAUCUGCAAUGAUUGCCACUUGUAAGCAGUGGUUUUGCUGGUCUAAUGUCUGCGGGUUCAUUCUAAUGGCCUACCCUAAAAUUCUAUUGCUUGCAGCAUUUCUUCUAGUCCUAUCCUUUUGGGUGGACCUUUGCCAUCAGACAAAUGAUGAAGAGGAUGAUGAUGAUGAUGAUGAAAGUAGCAUGCAGCAUCCCCUGUUGGAAAAUUCAAAGAAUAAAGACCGCAUAUCAAACGCUGAUGGUCGUAGAAUUUGUUGCUCGUUCCCAAGCAUUCAUGUUGGCAGUCACCAGAAAUUUGCGAUUGCGGUUGUUGGGUUUGUCCUUAUUUUGAUGAUGUCAUUUUCUGUGGUAAUUUUGAUUGGUGCGGGGAAGAAUCCCAUUGAUUCUUCAGCAGUGGCUCAGGUAUAUGAAGACUUUCUCGCCUUUGCAGUCCUUUUUAUAGGAGGUGGAUUAGGCUGCUAUGGCAUUCUGCUACUUCGUAAGUUAAGGAAAGUACGGUCUGAGAAAGCUUCAUCUGAAAUGUGGAAGGUUGGCGGUUUAGCUGUUGCCUCUGUUGUAUGCUUUACGUCAAGCGCAUUAGUAGCUCUUAUUACAGAUAAACCUCUAUAUGAUCCUUGGAGUCUGAAAAAAGCAUAUGGUGGGAAAGAGCUAUUGUUGCUGUUGCUGUAUUAUUUUGCUCUUGGGUACCCGCGGCUUUUGUGUUAUGGUUCAUGAGAGAAUUGCCACCCCCAAUCACUAAUCGCCAACAGGAACAAUCAAGAACUAUUACUUUUAUCAGCUAUGCUGGAGUGGAGCCACAGCACUGGGCUAGAGUAACAAGUUCAAAUCAGGCGUUGCGAACGAGUCCCAUAUAAGGAAAAAUUGUAGAGCUCUCAAUGUAAUCUCGUCUCUGAAUAAGAGAUUUUGAGAAUGCUGAAGGCCUGAAUCAGAAAUGCAAAUGAUACUAGACUUACGCACUGCAGACGACGUUCAUAUGAAUCUAGAGGCUUACCUGUCGUCACCAUUUCUACUGACGUAUGCUCCACAGAUAUAUGGAUCCUACUGACUUUUGCGUUUGUUCAUGUACAGAGAUAUCACAGGAUUGAGCAACACUCUUCUGCUCCUCGUGUUGAUUAAUCAUCCUGUGAUUGUCCACGGCAAAAGAUGAUCAUUAUGUGAAUCACUGAAUCGUAUUAUAGGCACCCAAUUUACAUGUAGAUGUUUCUCAUGUGGGUGUUUUCAACAAUGUAUACGUGAUGAAAGUGUAAUAUACUAAUACAAAUCCGAGGGUGAUAAUAGAAGAAGGCAAACCUUCUUGUUGUGGAUUUUGUUGCUGUUACCCGUUGUUACCAUAUCCGUUGGCCGUUACCCGUGAGGCGUUCUUUAAUCUCUAAACUCGAAACCCUUUUUUUAUUGGGUAUGCUGAGUAGUAUCUACUUUAGUUCAUAUCGCAAUCUAAUGCUUUUUCAGUUGUGAAUCCCAUUUGG